AAACAAAAUUUCCAUUCAUCUCAAACAAUCAACAUCUUUACAUGCAAAUGUCAUCAAAAGGACUUUUCCAAGCUUGUAAUGAGGUUGGGCUAACAAGAAAAUUGGUUUUUCUAGAAUGCAAAAUUCUUGAGUCAACAGAGCUCUCAAAAUAUUCAACAAUUAAUCACAACUCUCUCACCAAUGUCUCUCAUUCCCAACUUUUCCCUUUUCUUUUUCUUUUGCAUUGAGCUUUUCUUCAUGCUUUUCUUCUUUUCUUUUCUUUUUCUCAUGAAUUUUUCUUUUCACAAUAUUUGAGCUCAAUGUCUUUCACUUGCUUUUUCAAUUUUCCCCCGUACAACCCCAAACUUGAACCUUUUCAUCACAUACAAUUAGGCUCAUCCC
rnacentral:lncRNA from 1 species